UCGGGCCUCAGAACACAGCCUCUUAUUGGAAGAACGGAAAAUUGUGACGCCAGCGCUCGAAAUUGGAAGGGAGCUGAUGAUUCGCUCCGACUCAGAUUGCGUCCACCCGACCCACAUCUAAAUUGACUGCAGUGACAGAAGAAUUACAGACAUAGAUGAUCCAAUGGUGCUUCAUACAUUGCAAGAUGGAUUAAUAUUCUGUUUGAUGCCCGGGAGUUGAUAUUUCCUUCAGCCUCAGGGAAUAAACAUGAUAUACAGUCUAA